rnacentral:tRNA from 1 species
GAGAUUGUGGCUCAGUGGUAGAGCGCUUGCGUAGCACAUGCAAGGCCCUGGGUUCUAUCCUCAGCAACACA